CGCCUGUCCCCACGCGGACCUGAGACUUCCUGCCCUCAAGGGCGUGGGACCCCUCUCUCAGCUCUGUCCCGGAGGGGCCCUGAGCUCCCGGGAGACACCCACCCGGCGGCUAGGGAGCACUGGGCGGUGGCCAAACCACCUCCAAAAUUUUGGGCCACGCCUGGGAUGGUAUCCAGGGGAGUGAAGCUUCUGCUUGAUAGGUGGGUGACGGGACCCAGGCCCUGGGCAGUCUCCACGGCUGGCCUCAUUCCCAUGCUGGACCAGGAGCUUACCAAGGUCCAGGGAGCAGCCACAGCCAACGGGCCACCCCCUGGGUCCUCACUGGCUUGCACCAUUGGACUAAAAAGAUUCGGGGAUGCCGCCCAUGAGUCAGGGGAGAGGGUGCAGCCGGAGCUCACUGAGGCAGUGACCAGUGAUGGCCCAGCCUGCGAUGACGGAGGGGCUGGUGAGCUGGGCGUCUCAGCAGCCUGGGGUUGCAGAGGGAACGUGAAUGCCUGCGGGGCGGGGGGGGNNNNNNNNNNNNNNNNNGGGGCGGGA
rnacentral:lncRNA from 1 species